GUCACUCUAAUCCUAGCUCCUCAUUAUUUUGCCAAGAUUUGUAAGUUAUGCAAGAGAUGUGAGAGAGAGAAUGAAGAUAUGUUGAGAUAUUAUAUACAUACACACAUAUUAUAUCUAUACAAUUUCUCCUACUAUAAAUGUUCCUCAAUUAAUUUGCAAAUAUAAGUUUCUUUUCUUCAUCUCUCCAAAAUAGCUAGCAAAAGAAAAUAGAAAAGGAAGAGAGGGAGAAAGCCGUGGGUCAAGAGGAAGAAGAAAAGAAAUCUUCUCAUGCCAUCUAACUUGAUAAUUUAUUAUGGAAAAGCAAUAAGAUCAAGGUAUAACAUCCAACUAUAUAUAAAUUAGUUUAUUACUUUUAUUUCUUUUAUUUUUGAUAAAAUGAGAAUCUAAUAUUUUUCAAACCCAAAAAUCUUAGAUCUACAUGUUAAUAAGUAUUUUAUGUUUAAAUCUAACCAUUUUUGGUGUUAAAAGUUGGAUCAAAAGGAAGAUAAAAAAAAUAGGUUUUCUAGUUUAGAAAACCCUAAUCUUUCUUCACUUUGAAAAUCCACCAUUUGAAAUCUACACCUUCUUUUUGUGAUCCGUCAAGGAGGGCUGUUAGAUAUGUAAGUUAACUUUUAAAUCCAAGUGAUAACACUCAAAUAUGUUGAUUUUACAAGCCUUGGGAGCUGUUUUGGUGAAAACAGUCCAGAUUUUUCAAAGGGAAAAUAGACUAUUUUAGAUCAGUUCAUCCCAGGGACACUUUCAUCAUUUUUCUUAACUUUAAAAAUUCUGUAAAAAUUUGGUAGGAUAGUAUGAUGAGUUAUCUAGAUCUUGUCUAAAGAUGGCUAUUUUUGGAUGUGUAAAAUGAGAGUUAUGGAUUUUACAAGGAAAGACUAUUUUAAAAGUAAACCAAAAUAACUUUUUCCAUGUAACUCCAAAAAUUGUGAAAUUUUUAGUGGAAGUACAUACAUAUAACAGGGAUAUCUCGUGAAAAUUUCGUAAUUUUUGGACUUAAACACAGUUCAUGAUAAUUGUUGCAAGAUCUCACUGUUUUGGUCAUUUUAAAAAUAGUAAAUGAAAUCCAAAAAUUCCAGAAAUAUUAUAUGUUCAUCAUGACACCAUGUACUGAUAUUUUCCAGAAAAUAAGAAUUUUCAGAACUGUUCUAGUAUUUUUCAUGGAUGUGUUUGAGUUAUGAAUAAAUGAGAAUAAUAAGUUAUGUGAUGUCAUAAAUGGCACAAAUGUAAUUUUAUGACUUAGAGAUCCUAAAUAUGAUGUUUCCAAAUUUUUGGAGGGUAUUAUGGUCAUUUUUGAUGAGAUUUUAUAUUUAUGGCAUAUUAGGGUUGUUAAAUAAAGUUAUAACAUGUUAUGAGAUUACAUGUUAGAUAAUUUAUUACAAGAAUAGUAGUGUUAUCAGUUAUAACAUGUUAUGCUAAUUGAGAGAUCAAUAUUAUUAAUGAUAGGUCUUUCAAAUUGUGUAGCAGUAGUCAACGACCAAGGCAAGUUUCCAAACUCAACUUGAGUUAUUAAUUUCAAAGCAUGAUUAGUGAAUAAUUAUUGUUGGUUAUUCAUAUCUAUAAUGAUUAUUGUUAUUCACAUAUAAUGCAUUUGAUUUCCUGUUCUAUUAAUUGAACUGUGAAAUAAUUUAAAGUUCUUUUAUUCAUGAACUGUUUAUGAGCCAUGUCUCAGCUAUUCGUUUCGGCUAGACUAAUAAUUGAAGAAUCGUUCAAUUAUUUGAACUAAGUUGUUAUUGAAAGAUUUAUGCCAUUUAUUUCGGCUAGAUCAAUAUUGAUAUUAUAUGUUGAAAUCAUAACAUUUCUUUGAAAGUAAUCCAAACCAUAUUGUUGUGGUACAGACUCAUGAUGUAAGACUGAGAUGAACAACCCUUAGAAAAAGGGGAACUUUAUUGUUGGACAUCUGACCCUUGCACUAUUUUUGAGUAUUAUGCAUAAUAUAGGGUACAAUGAGGCUGAUCACUUCAUGUACUCGCAGAAAAGUAUGAUUUAAUCUUUAUGGUUAACUGAUACUCUUGAGGUAAUUCAGUAAUCUGGGAAUUUCCCUCUUUGUUGAAUAUUGUUGCAUUAUUGUUAAUUGUUUCUAAUCAAAUGAAUAUUAUUGAAUCUUCAAAUGAAUUUAAUUCUUUCAUUCUUAAGAUAUUAUUUAUUCUAGAAUUCAAGAAAAUUCUUGUUAUUAAAAAUGAUUUAUUGUUCAGCUACUUCGAAAUCUUUUGAACAUUGUUGACAUUCUAGAAAGUUAGAUUCUUCUAUAUCUUUUAUUGUACGCUUUAACUUGCUGAGCAAACUCGUUGCUCACCCUUGCUUAAAUAAAACAUUUCAGCUAAGGACGAGGUAGCCGAGGGGUCAAAGAAAGACAAGGGCAAAGACAAAGUACAAGAGUAGUUAUUAUGAACUUUACUUAUUAUGUUACUGUAUGUAAAUUAAUUAUGUAAACCUUUUGAGUAUCUAAGGGUAUGUAAGUUAUUUUAAGGUUAGUUAACCUAGGAUGAUGAUGAUAUAAUUAUAUUUUAAGUUAUAUUUUUAUUAAGGACAUGUAAUGAAUGAUGUAUUUCAUCAAUGAAUGGGUAGUUAGAUGUGAU
rnacentral:lncRNA from 1 species